CAGGCUGGAGUGCAAUGGCAUGAUCUCAGCUCACUGCAACCUCCGCCUCCUGGGCUCAAGUGAUUCUCCUGCCUCAGCCUCCCUAGUAGCUGAGAUUACAGCAAUGAAUGAAGGUUCCUGUUGCUCCACAUUCUCACCAGCACUUGGUUUCAUCAGUGUUCUGACUUCAGCCAUUCUAACAGGUUUGAACUGCAUGGACUGCUUAUAUGUGAAUUUUCUUCCACUUCUGCCACCCCUGGAACAGCAAGACCAACCCAUCCUUUUCCUCCUCUUCUUCAGCAUACUCAAGGUGAAGACAACAAAGGAUGAAGAUCUUUAUGAUGAUCUACUUCCAUUUAAUAAAUAGUACUAUAUUGUACAUUCCACUGUAAAUGAGCAAACAUUACACUGGCAGCAGGGACCAGCAUCCUUUAUCAAGAGGCAGUUGUAGCUCAAGAGUUGCAUCUUGGUAGCAUCAAUACAGAAUUUAAGGAUUACAGAAGAUAUCUCAAAAGUUCUCUAUACUUGGAAGAAAAAUAAAGAACGAUUUGCACUUCA
rnacentral:lncRNA from 1 species